rnacentral:rRNA from 1 species
UGCCAGCAGCCGCGGUAAUACGGAGGGGGCUAGCGUUGUUCGGAAUUACUGGGCGUAAAGCGCGCGUAGGCGGACUGGAAAGUUGGGGGUGAAAUCCCAGGGCUCAACCCUGGAACUGCCUCCAAAACUAUCAGUCUAGAGUUCGAGAGAGGUGAGUGGAAUUCCGAGUGUAGAGGUGAAAUUCGUAGAUAUUCGGAGGAACACCAGUGGCGAAGGCGGCUUUCUGGACCGAUACUGACGCUGAGACGCGAAAGCGUGGGGAGCAAACAGGAUUAGAUA